UACGAAGGGGGCUAGCGUUGCUCGGAAUUACUGGGCGUAAAGGGAGCGUAGGCGGAUAGUUUAGUCAGAGGUGAAAGCCCAGGGCUCAACCCUGGAAUUGCCUUUGAUACUGGCUAUCUUGAGUACGGAAGAGGUAUGUGGAACUCCGAGUGUAGAGGUGAAAUUCGUAGAUAUUCGGAAGAACACCAGUGGCGAAGGCGACUACCUGGCCUGUUCUUGACGCUGAGGCGCGAAAGCUAGGGGAGCAAACGGG
rnacentral:rRNA from 1 species